rnacentral:rRNA from 1 species
UAGGGAAUCUUCGGCAAUGGACGAAAAGUCUGACCGAGCAACGCCGCGUGAGUGAAGAAGGUUUUCGGAUCGUAAAACUCUGUUGGUAGAGAAGAACGUUGGUGAGAGUGGAAAGCUCAUCAAGUGACGGUAACUACCCAGAAAGGGACGGCUAACUACGUGCCGG